GAUGAAGAACGUAGCGAACUGCGAUAAGUAAUGUGAAUUGCAGAAUUCAGUGAAUUAUCGAGUCUUUGAACGCACAUUGCGCCCCCUGGCAUUCCGGGGGGCAUGCCUGUCCGAGCGUCAUUGCUGCCCUUCAAGCCCGGCUUGUGUGUUGGGUCGUCGUCCCCCCCGGGGGACGGGCCCGAAAGGCAGCGGCGGCACCGCGUCCGGUCCUCGAGCGUAUGGGGCUUUGUCACCCGCUCGAUUAGGGCCGGCCGGGCGCCAGCCGGCGUCUCCAACCUUCUAUUUUACCAGGUUGACCUCGGAUCAGGUAGGGAUACCCGCUGAACUUAAGCAUAUCAAUAAGCGGAGGA
rnacentral:misc_RNA from 1 species